rnacentral:rRNA from 1 species
AUUGAACGCUGGCGGCAGGCCUAACACAUGCAAGUCGAACGGAGUGGCGGACGGGUGAGUAAUGCCUAGGAAUCUGCCCCGUAGCGGGGGAUAACGAUGGGAAAUGGGCGCUAAUACCGCAUCCUAUUGGUGCAGCCUAGGUCGGAUUAGCUAGUUGGUGGGGUAAAGGCCCACCAAGGCGACGAUCCGUAACUGGUCUGAGAGGAUGAUCAGUCACACUGGAACUGAGACACGGUCCAGACUCCUACGGGAGGCAGCAGUGGGGAAUAUUGGACAAUGGGCGAAAGCCUGAUCGAGCCAUGCCGCGUGUGUGAAGAAGGUCUUCGGAUUGUAAAGCACUUUAAGUUGGGAGGCGGUACCAGCAGAAUAAGCACCGGCUAACUACGUGCCAGCAGCCGCGGUAAUAC